rnacentral:rRNA from 1 species
GAUGAACGCUGGCGGCGUGCCUAAUACAUGCAAGUCGAGCGAACGGACGAGAAGCUUGCUUCUCUGAUGUUAGCGGCGGACGGGUGAGUAACACGUGGAUAACCUACCUAUAAGACUGGUAUAACUUCGGGAAACCGGAGCUAAUACCGGAUAAUAUUUUGAACCGCAUGGUUCAAAAGUGAAAGACGGUCUUGCUGUCACUUAUAGAUGGAUCCGCGCUGCAUUAGCUAGUUGGUAAGGUAACGGCUUACCAAGGCAACGAUGCAUAGCCGACCUGAGAGGGUGAUCGGCCACACUGGAACGGAGACACGGUCCAGAGUACUACGGGAGGCAGCAGUAGGGAAUCUUCCGCAAUGGGCGAAAGCCUGACGGAGCAACGCCGCGUGAGUGAUGACGGUCUUCGGAUCGUAAAACUCUGUUAUUAGGGAAGAACAUAUGUGUCAGUAACUGUGCACAGCUUGACGGUAACUAAUCAGAAAGCCACGGCUAACUACGUG